rnacentral:lncRNA from 1 species
UGCACCGUCUAUCCACAUGCAAUGUAACACUGGAAAAUCCCAUUCCGACCCCAUGCUUCAGAAACGCUGGCAGAGAGCAUGAAGUGCUCACCCUCCCUGGGACUUGCAGGUGCCGGCCCCCUUGGGCAACUCAGGAAAAUCAAGGAAGGCCCCUUUAUUGCAUGAGGGCAUUGAAGUGUCACCGGAAAAAAAAAAAACACAAAGAACUACCUUUGGGUCUGAUAGUCUGCCCCAAAGGCAGGGGAUUAGCAAUUCCAACCCUGUCUUGUGGGGAGCUGUGGAGAGAGGGGAGCUGGAAUCCCAGGGAUGGCAGGAAAUUCAUUCUGAGGACAUUCAGAACCACAAGACCCUGCCCGUUCCCAGGUAGUAGGUUUAGGAUUCUCCAAAUGGCCUCUGGCCUCAUUUUCAGAAAGCUAUUGGCUUCUUAAUGGAAGGUAUUAGAAGAACCAUGUGACCUUUUGGGGCUAGGAACAACCAUAGGCACUGAAAGGUUGAAGGUGUGGCCAAGAAACUAAGGCUACAAGACCGUCAUCGAUGGGUA